rnacentral:piRNA from 1 species
GACAGCCUCGGUGUCCCAGCUGC